rnacentral:rRNA from 2 species
UGGGGAAUAUUGGGCAAUGGACGCAAGUCUGACCCAGCAACGCCGCGUGAAGGAAGAAGGUCUUCGGAUUGUAAACUUCUGUCCUUGGGGACGAAAAAAAUGACGGUACCCAAGGAGGAAGCCCCGGCUAACUACGUGCCAGCAGCCGCGGUAAUACGUAGGGGGCAAGCGUUGUCCGGAAUUACUGGGCGUAAAGGGUGCGUAGGUGGAUUUUUAAGUCAGAUGUGAAAGACCGGGGCUCAACUCCGGGAUUGCAUUUGAAACUGGAGAUCUUGAGUGCAGGAGAGGUAAGUGGAAUUCCUAGUGUAGCGGUGAAAUGCGUAGAUAUUAGGAGGAACACCAGUGGCGAAGGCGACUUACUGGACUGUAACUGACACUGAGGCACGAAAGCGUGGGGAGCAAACAGG